AAGCUUUCUUCUUAUACCUUUUGUUUGAAUCUUUUCUAAGUAAAAUUAUGACCAUUGGUUAGUCUCAUUAAAGCUGCAGUUUUUUAGCAAGACAUAUAAAAUAAAAAAUUCUGCAUCUCAUUAAAAAGUGAACACAAAUUAAAACUCAACCUACAUGUAAGAUUCAAAAGGUGAGGAUUUCUCAAUUUCAUGUCAUCGUCAGCUUCAAACGCUGCUUCUUCACUGGAGUGAUUAUGCCGUAGUACUUGUUGGUGCACUAUUGUCAAUACUGUCUACCUUCCGCACAGGAUUUCUAUCUGCAUUGGCUUGCUUUUAGUCUUGAAUAAGUAAAUUGGACCUUCUUCACUGUGUCCCAUACUAGGUUUCAUCCCAAAAGCUUGUCAUUACCGGGCUCGACUACCCUAACGAAUAUAAAUAUUCAUGUAUUUUUUUCUAAUUUAAAAAAUAAGAUUUAAUAAAAUUUCAAGAAUAUUACUUUCAAUUCUCACAUAUUUUUAACAUUUCUUGCAAGAAAGGAAAAUUCAAUGGAGCUCGAACUUUUUAACAAAGAGAUAGAGAGAGUACCAUUGACGGAGAUCUUGGGGUUACUGUUCUGAUCGUCAAUUUCAAUGGCGGAAGUUUCCUUCUGCUUUGCCAUUGUUGAGAAAUUAGCUUACAACGGAGCAACCUUUAGUUUUGACGAGACCCUGUCGGAGUAAUGUCAGCGUUUCUUCAAUUUGGUUUAAUUUUUCGAUCAAAUUAAUCCAAUCUUACCUUUUUGGACAUGGUAUGAACCAAGCACCUGAGGCACGAAAAAACCAGCAAAAUGCCAUCUCAUUUAUACGAUAUUAUGAAGGGAAAGUUUUACCAGCAUUAAUACUCACUCCGUUACAGUUAGAUAAAUU
rnacentral:lncRNA from 1 species